rnacentral:rRNA from 1 species
GAGUUUGAUCAUGGCUCAGAGCGAACGCUGGCGGCAGGCUUAACACAUGCAAGUCGAGCGGGCGUAGCAAUACGUCAGCGGCAGACGGGUGAGUAACACGUGGGAACGUACCUUUUGGUUCGGAACAACUGAGGGGAAACUUCAGCUAAUACCGGAUAAGCCCUAACGGGGAAAGAUUUAUCGCCGAAAGAUCGGCCCGCGUCUGAUUAGCUAGUUGGUGAGGUAAUGGCUCACCAAGGCGACGAUCAGUAGCUGGUCUGAGAGGAUGAUCAGCCACACUGGGACUGAGACACGGCCCAGACUCCUACGGGAGGCAGCAGUGGGGAAUAUUGGACAAUGGGGGCAACCCUGAUCCAGCCAUGCCGCGUGAGUGAUGAAGGCCCUAGGGUUGUAAAGCUCUUUGUGCGGAAGAUAAUGACGGUACCGCAAGAAUAAGCCCCGACUAACUUCGUGCCAGCGCCGCUGUAAC